rnacentral:rRNA from 1 species
GGGGCAUGCUAUACUGCAAGUCGAGCGGACUUUAAAAGCUUGCUUUUAAAGUUAGCGGCGGACGGGUGAGUAACACGUGGGCAACCUGCCUGUAAGACUGGGAUAACUUCGGGAAACCGGAGCUAAUACCGGAUAAUCCUUUUCUACACAUGUAGAAAAGCUGAAAGACGGUUUACGCUGUCACUUACAGAUGGGCCCGCGGCGCAUUAGCUAGUUGGUGAGGUAACGGCUCACCAAGGCAACGAUGCGUAGCCGACCUGAGAGGGUGAUCGGCCACACUGGGACUGAGACACGGCCCAGACUCCUACGGGAGGCAGCAGUAGGGAAUCUUCCGCAAUGGACGAAAGUCUGACGGAGCAACGCCGCGUGAGUGAUGAAGGUUUUCGGAUCGUAAAACUCUGUUGUUAGGGAAGAACAAGUACAAGAGUAACUGCUUGUACCUUGACGGUACCUAACCAGAAAGCCACGGCUAACUACGUGCCAGCAGCCGCGGUAAUACGUAGGUGGCAAGCGUUGUCCGGAAUUAUUGGGCGUAAAGCGCGCGCAGGCGGUCCUUUAAGUCUGAUGUGAAAGCCCACGGCUCAACCGUGGAGGGGCAUUGGAAACUGGGGGACUUGAUUGCAGAAUAAAAAAGAGGAAUUCCAAAUUGAACGUGUAAAUGCGAAAAGAAUGUGGAUAUGCACUCAUGACCAACGGCGAUUGUCUAGGUCUGUAGCUGACGCUGAAGAGCGAAGCCCGAGGCCGUGAGCAGCAUACAAGACUC